CCCAUAAAGGACUAAGACCAUUGCAGUUUGACUAAGGUCACAGAGAACGUAAGCAGUAGAGUUGAAAUCCACAUCAGCCUUCUAUGGGAGCCAUGCCCCAACUCUCGACACGCCCAGAUGAAGAAGAACGGAAAAGAGAUUUGAUCUCUGUGCCUAUUAACCAUGCCAAUAGAAGGUUGUGUGAAAAACGAAGCUAUUGGUAGAAGUUUGGGAAAAAAUCUAGUGAUUAGACCAGCAGAAGAUCUGAACUUCGGAGAAGACCACAAAUGAAUUAAAAGACCAGUUCUCUUUUCAAAAGCUAACACGAAAUGAGGAUGGGUUUUAUACAAAAGCAGCUGCUCCUGCCAGUGAGCUUAUGCAUGUCUGUCUUUCAUAUGCCACAGUCAGACCUAGGAAAUUCCCUGGGAAGUCCCCUCUACCACAGUGCUUGCCGUUUCUCCAUUUGACUAUGAUUCUAUUGACUCUUGGGAGAUUGAUCUUCAGGAAGCUCUUAUCACAAAACAGCUCUUCCUGGAGUGAGGAGAGAGCAUGGUACCUGGGAAGACAAAGGGAGUGGACUGUGACAUGGGAAUCUGGUUCCCAUUUUAGUUCUACAACUAGCAGCCUGGUGGCUUUAGGAGGAGCCUGCCAUUUCCCUGGCCUCAAUGGUUUCAUCUGUAAAUUGGAACGGCCUGGAGAUGAUAAAAGUGAAAGCAUCCAUUACCAUGCCUGGAAGUGCUCAAGAAAUGAUUCUUUCCUGCCUGCUGACUUCCAUUUUCCAUCUGUAAGGGCUUCCCAGUUUGCUCCAGCCCUGAUGAUCCCUAGGCCCCUGAGGAAGGGCCACACGGCACACCAGCCAGUCCGUGUCUCCCAGAUGUGCUCCUGGUGUGCCACUAAAACCUCUUCUGAGGAAAAGACUCCGCCGAGCAAAGAGGAGAAGAGGCACAGGAAUUCCCAGGUAAGAAAUAAAGAUAGUAAAAGCUGUUGCACGGAGCUCCUGGAAGGCUGGUGAGCAGGUGGGUAAUGAUGUCAGGGUGAAGAUAUGGCGGGUGAAAGAGACUAAGGUUAAAGUAACCAUGAUUUCGUUUGAAGCCA
rnacentral:lncRNA from 1 species